rnacentral:rRNA from 1 species
UACAGAGGUCUCAAGCGUUGUUCGGAUUCAUUGGGCGUAAAGGGUGCGUAGGUGGCGAGGUAAGUCGGAUGUGAAAUCUCAGGGCUCAACCCUGAAACUGCAUUCGAUACUGCCUUGCUCGAGGACUGGAGAGGAGAUUGGAAUUCACGGUGUAGCAGUGAAAUGCGUAGAUAUCAGGAGGAACACCGGUGGCGAAGGCGGAUCUCUGGGCCAUUACUGACGCUGAGGAGCGAAAGCGUGGGGAGCGAACAGG